rnacentral:rRNA from 1 species
AUGAACGCUGGCGGCGUGCCUAAUCCAUGCCAGUCGAGCGAACAGACGAGGAGCUUGCUCCUCUGACGUUAGCGGCGGACGGGUGAGUAACACGUGGAUAACCUACCUAUAAGACUGGGAUAACUUCGGGAAACCGGAGCUAAUACCGGAUAAUAUAUUGAACCGCAUGGUUCAAUAGUGAAAGACGGUUUUGCUGUCACUUAUAGAUGGAUCCGCGCCGCAUUAGCUAGUUGGUAAGGUAACGGCUUACCAAGGCAACGAUGCGUAGCCGACCUGAGAGGGUGAUCGGCCACACUGGAACUGAGACACGGUCCAGACUCCUACGGGAGGCAGCAGUAGGGAAUCUUCCGCAAUGGGCGAAAGCCUGACGGAGCAACGCCGCGUGAGUGAUGAAGGUCUUCGGAUCGUAAAACUCUGUUAUUAGGGAAGAACAAAUGUGUAAGUAACUAUGCACGUCUUGACGGUACCUACUCAGAAAGCCACGGCUAACUACGUG